rnacentral:misc_RNA from 1 species
UCUCGACAAAGAGUUUAACCCAAAGAUAGGAGACUUUGGGUUGGCUAAACUCUUUCCAGAUGACAUCACUCAUAUUAGCACAAGAAUAGCAGGAACAACUGGUUAUUUGGCACCAGAGUACGCAUUGAGUUAACCAUGAAGGCUGAUGUGUACAGUUUUGGGGUUCUUGUCCUUGAAAUAAUUAGUGGCAAAAGCAGUGCAAAGGCCAGCUGGGGAGGAAUGCAAAAGCUCCUACUAGAAUGGGCAUGGCAGCUUCAUGAAGAGGGGAAACUCUUAGAACUAGUAGAUCCAGAGCUGGGAGAUUUUCCAGAGGAAGAAGUCAUUAGAUACAUGAAAGUAGCCUUUUUCUGCACCCAGGCAGCAGCAAGCCGAAGGCCACUCAUGAGCCAGGUUGUUGAUAUGCUUUCGAAGAAUGUCCGGCUUAAUGAGAUGCUACUUUCACCACCAGGUUUCUUCCAAGAUUCAAUUGGCCUCAGUGGGCCACCAUCUUCAACUAAAAAGUCAUCUGCCGACUCUACUAGCAACCAGAUGAGCUCUUUUCCUGUCACAAUCACUGAGGUAACCCCUAGAUGAAGAACAUUCUUUUAAUUGCUAUCGACACUCAAGUAUUGGUAAGAGCUCUCAGCUGGAAAAUGGGGAAAAAAAUUAGUUCCUAGGCACAUUCAUGUAUUUUAUCCCUCGCAUUGCGUUAGGUAAAUCAUAUACAGGUUUUUCUAUCUAUAGGGAAAGUGAGCGUAGUUAAACACAAUUGAAGUGGCGAAUUUAUCUUCUUGUUGAAGGAGGUGAUGUGUGGCAAUUAUUUAUAUGUUUUUUGUAAUUGUUUUUCUUGUCAUGAUUGGAUGGGAG